UACGUAGGGUGCAAGCGUUGUCCGGAAUUAUUGGGCGUAAAGAGCUUGUAGGCGGUUUGUCGCGUCUGCUGUGAAAUUUCGGGGCUCAACCCCGAACUUGCAGUGGGUACGGGCAGACUAGAGUGUGGUAGGGGAGACUGGAGUUCCUGGUGUAGCGGUGAAAUGCGCAGAUAUCAGGAGGAACACCGAUGGCGAAGGCAGGUCUCUGGGCCACUACUGACGCUGAGAAGCGAAAGCAUGGGGAGCGAACAGG
rnacentral:rRNA from 1 species